AGUCGGGUUUCGGCUGGCAGCGGCUCGAGUUGGCUGACGUGACUCCGCCCAAGGUCACGCCCCCUGCAGCCGUGAGACCGGCCGAGUGAGACCUGCCAGUAUUGCGCCGUGCCGGCCGUGCUAGACGUGCCCGGCGUGCUCGGGGUUCGCUCCUGUGGUGACGAUUUGCUGUUAGACUGCGCGGCUCAAGGGGUGGUUUAUCCAGUGAGCGCUACUGCUGUGCUGCCGGCCGUCGGUGAGCGUCGGUCUCGACGGGGGCGUUUGUUGUGCUCUGACGUCAUCGGCCACGCCCCUCCUGGCUCGAGAAUGAUGAUGAGUGGUUACUUGCACGCCCGAGCCGCCAUGCGCUGUAUGAAUGGGACAGAACCGACGCAACCCGAGCUACUCAUACCUAAUGUGUUCUUUCGGUGCAUGUGUGACCUCGGGAUAAUCUCCUACUGUUCAAGAAUCAGUGUUGAGAGCACCGAGAGCUCAUCUUUCGACGAAGAAACUACAGAAACCCAAUGGUCUUUCAGCGAUUCUUUCCAAGAUCCUGUCACGACGAUGAAAAACGGCGUGUGGAAAAUUGACGAACCCAGCCUGAAUUUCAACGCAGAUGACGAUCUGAAGAGCGCACCAGAUGCCAGUCUGGACACCAUCGUCACGUGCAUUGGUGUAUUUUCUAUCAUUCUCUGCGUGUCGUACAUUGUUUUCCGGUGCUUUCGCCAGGGCGUCUGCCCGGAUCCCGCUGGUCUCGAGGUGGCCGCUCCAAUGCUCAGUGGCUGCAGGAGGUCUGGAGGCGCGGCCGCCGCGGCCUCCACUGUCAAUGACGUCACCUCUGGAGGGGGCGGAGGAGGGGGUCAGGGGGAGACGGCAGCACCGGUCGACCUGCCGCCCCCCUACGACCUCGUCUAUGAAGAAAACAUCACACCGCCCACAUAUGAGGAAGUGAUUCGAGAAGAGGCCAAAGACGGCGCUCGAGACCCGGUGUGAAAGGUGCUUUAUUGGGUUUUGUGUCACAAUGUGGUGCCUGAUAUUGCGGGGGCUAGACAUACUGGUAGUCCGGUGCCUCAUGAGCGUAUUCCAUAUGAUGCUAUACGUUUUGGGUGUGCUUAGAGACUUCUGAAAUCUAAAGCUUGAAACAGACUCACUACUUGACAAAGGGCGGCUUUUCGGUCGCGACCGGGAUGAGUCUGCCACUCAAGUCUCAGCUUAAAACACGUCAGGCAGAUGUGCAACUGGUUGUUGCUGAUAUCCAGAUGUUGGCAGACCAUCAGUUCUAGCCUUAUUCUGUUUCAGUCUUAAGAUGUUAACGACGCUUCGGGGUAGCAGAGUUGUGAUCGAAUUGUGCGAUUAUUGUGUCCAUUGUGCGAUUAUUGUGUGCUAUGUGUAAAAUUUUGAAAACAUCAGGAUCGACGAUGUAAGUUAUUCCCAUCAAAUGUACUUAAUGCAACACAAAAGGUCGAAUUUGACAGGCAGACUGUGUGCGUUUCCAGCAGCGCACCCGCCGUUCGGGGAGCUGUGAUUGGCUUGAGCUUAUGUGACGUCACUAGCUUCAUAUGCGGCUCAUUUUUAGAAAUGAGACUUGAACAGGGUGGGAUUCCUGUGCCAUGCUUAGAUGUAUGUGGCGGAGAUUAUACGUGCAUGCCUAGCAAAUGUGCAAAUGAUCUGACUUAACACCGUCACAAAACUUGUAUGUGUGUGUGUGUGUGCGUGCCUGAAGGUUUAGAAUGCGUUCUCGCCUGCUUUUCACGAAGUUCCCCAUCACUCUCAUUGUUUUAGUUUCAAGUUUUUAAUCAAGGACCUGUUCCGUAUUGCACUUAUUACAGCCAUUCAGAGAUUAUAGAACGGUUUUGAUGCCAAGCAGUGAUAAUUUAAUGUUUGCCGCCUGCGAGUCUUUCGUAAUGUGUUAUGGAGGCCCGCAGUUGGGUUACAGGAGUGAAAUGCCACGGUCAGCACACUGCGAGUAGGUACAGUUCAGUUCACAUUACAGAAUCGGCACGAUCAGACAGUUUCAAGAUAGGGUACCCAGAGAGUGCACCGAAUGCAGUUGCAUGGUCUAGUGCACAGUGCAUCGCUCACGUGCAAGGUAUGACACCCCGGUGUGAACAUUGCAUUCGAGCGAUUUUAUUUGAUACGGAACUUGUAAACUCCGACAAUUCUUCUAAAGAAAGGUUUGCUUAUGCAUGUAUGAGCCACUUGAAUAAUGAAAUGACUGAGUUUAGUGUCAUUUAGGGGCUGAGCUUAGUUUUUUUAUCUAGCUAUCUAAGAAGUUGAGUAGCUAGUCUGCGGAAUGUAGAUAGGUUGAAUGCUGACAAUGCGCGUUGUAUUGCCUGCCGUAUAGCUACAUUGCAGGGUCUUUCAAGUGCUCUAGCUCUGAGGGGCUGAGUUGUGUGCGAAUCUCAUCGUGAGCCUACCAAGUAGGCAGUGCGCCUUAGGCACAUCUAAAAUAGUAUAUGGUACUGUCUGUUGAGGUUGACUAUCCGAUAUGUUAGGUAUUUAUAGUUCAUGAUAACAGGUAAUUUAUACACUUUGUCAAUAAUCUCGGGAAGGACAUGGAUAUGCUGCUUCAUCCAAUACGCUACACUUUUACCGUUGUUUUGAAGUUGUGCCAGAUUGGAAGGUUAUCUGGAUGCUGUUGCUUGUUUCGCAUUUGAAUGUCGAAAGCUUUUGCCUUUUGUCUCCCGUUGUUCGUAUCAUGUCUCCCAGAAAUAUGCUUGUGUCAUGAGCUGUUUGAUUGGUGGUGCGAAUGCACUGCCUACUUCUCAAUACAAAGUAUUUCUGCUCUGAUGGGCUCUUAUAA